ensembl:ncRNA T06E8.5 ncRNA
GUCACACAUGUUUAUGAAUAUGAGCGAUGGAUGGAUGUGUUGUGUGAAUGUGCAAU